rnacentral:lncRNA from 1 species
GCAGUUGGCGUCGGAUGGGACGCCGGUUCGGCCGGCGGAGGCCGCUUGGCGCACGGGGACCGGCGGUCGAAGCUCCGUCGACCGGCUGCUCCCUCGCCUAUAAAUAGGCCUCCGUUUCCGUUGUCGAAGGGGCACACCGGAGAAGAUCGCGAGCUUGGAAACUUCCUCCUGAGAGACUUCGGAGGAGGUUGAAGAGCGAGCGAGAGAGAGGCCUGCGAGCUCCGAGAGAUCCCCUGAGAGACUUCGGGGAACUCAAAGAGCGAGCAAGGGCAAAGCGGUCGGGUCGCGAGCUCAACGACCUCCCUCCGAGAGACUUCGGGGGAGGCCGGCGGCGAGCGAACCCAGAUCUGCGAGGAGCGAGAGCAGAGAGAGGAGAGAGAUCGAAGCCGCGAGCAUUCAAGCUUCCCCCGAGAGACUUCAGGGGAGGUUCGACGCUCGCGAGCCCAGAUCAAAGGGAGGGAGCAGAGUUUGGGCACCCUCUGCCGUAGCCGCCGCCGUCGCCACCAUUCGCCGUUCAAGCUGCCGUUCACGGACAGGUAAAGUACCGCCACACCACGUCCUCCUGCCGCUACCGCCCUCCGUUCGUGUCACUGCCGUCGCCGCCGCUGCCGCUGGGACGCCCCGUCCCCUUCCCUCAGCGCCGCGAAUCGGGAACCCUAGGGUUCCCGAUUUUCCGGGUCGUGGCCUCGGGUCAUCGGAUCGGACCCGGGCCACGAACCGGGUAGGGUUUCCGCGUUCUGAGGUCAGGCUGAAAUCGGGUCAAAAGCCGGGUCGGACCCGGGUAGGGUUCCGCUAGGAGCCCGUGUCGUCGGGCCGGGCCGGGCGUCCCCGAACGCCCAGCCACGGCGUCGUUUUUGAUUAAAAAAAAAAAG